AGAGGCCGUGGGGCAGGCAGGGAGCCCUGCUCCGGGCGGUGCAGGCCGUGCAGGCCGGAGGCGAGGCCGCGCCUCGCGCUCCCCGAGCCGGCCCAGAGCCAGCCCCAGCCCGUGGAGCUGCAUUCCCGUGGUGGCUCCGGGCCCAAAGCAAUAAUUCCCGUGGAGAGGAGCCAUGUUAACAUGGCCAUAAAGCUUCCAGGCUGGAACGGCUUCCCGGGCGGCGGGGCCGAGCGGCCUGGCUCCGGCAGCACCCACACAGCCUCAGAGCUCGCCUUGCUGCUGCUCCUCGCUUCACAGCCCGGCUUUGGCCUAGGCAAAAAUACCCUCCCAGUUUACUCCUGAGCUUGGGAUGUGCUAAUAAUGGGACAAAAGAGCUGCCCCCGUGGGAUUCUCUGUCCCAAACUUGGAUUUUGUGUCCUCCUUCCUCCUUUCCCUCCUUCCUCCCAUGCGCGGCACAAGCAGGGCCCGCGUGCACGCACAAAUUCUGGGCUGGUUUUGAAAGCGACCUGGAAUAAUUUGCUCAAAUUAUAGACAGGAACACGGUGUCCUGUUUUCUGCUGAUUUUUUUGGUAUUUUCCCUCCCCACGAAAUGAAAGAUAAAUGGCAGAUAAUCCCUCACUCAUCCCCAUCCACCUCCUGAGCCCCACCAUCAAAUCCUAUCGAGGCAUCCAAGGUAGACCUUUGAAUGCUGGCUUAACUGAAGAUGUCACAACACCAGACCAGGUGCCCAAGUCCGCACUUGGCCUAAUUUAGCCUGGAUUAAGUCUGGCCUUGCUAGGAGAGAGCUGAAAUACCCACGGGCUGCUGGUUCGAGCCAUCCAAGUUUUUGCAAGAGGCUGACUGGAUCCAAAGAUUUUUGGGGAGAAAGAAUCCCAUUGAAAGGCUGGUUGGACAACAUGGGAACAGGCUGGGAAAAUGAUGCUGGAGGGAAUUGAGUCCAGUAUCAUAAAGUCACCCCAGGACAGUCCCUCUGUCGCUUUCUCUUGUCAGAGCUUGGCCCUCUGCUCCUCUGUUCCUCUCACUUGUCAGGAGCUGGGGAGGAUGGAGCUGAUCCAAAGUGCUCGGAAGAGAAACGGGAAUAAAGGCAGAGCAAUAUUGAUCAAAUUUCAGCCUCUGCAGCACCAAGGGCUGGGCUCCACACAUGAAAACUCCUGCACUGCAGAGGAACUCGGUACUGGCUAAAGUGUCCCCUUUUUUUGCUGGUUUUUUUUUUUUUUCCUCCAUUUUUCUAAUUAAAAAAGACUCCUCUUUUUGCCACCUCUCAUUUUACAGCAAAUUAGAUAUGAAAUCAGAGCUGCUUUCCCUGCUUCCCUGAGCUCCACUGACAGCCUACCAUGGAGAAACAUUUUGUUUGGGCCUAGGACAGGGGGCAGGAGCCAAGAACAGUUGGAAAUACACUGGAAAUGUUCAAGAAACUCCUGUGCUGCUGCAGCAAGCGGAGCAGGACAUGGCCCAGGGAGAGAGCAGAAUCAGGGAUGGAGGGGGAGCUGCUCCUCCAGCAGUGCAGGCUGCAGUGCUGGCCACUCACACAAACAGAAUUUACCCUUUUCCAGGCUGGAAAAGAACAGAUUUAUGUCUUGCUGCUUCUCAGGCAGGAACAGCCCUCCAGUCCUGUCCUGUCCAGCCUCAAAUCCUCAUCUUCUCCAGAGGAAAAGUCUGACUGACUCCAGAGGAAAUUGAGCCUGGGAAUUCGACAGAGCAACCCUGUCAGGACUGAAAAAUGAGCCCAUCUCAAGGCGUCCUGGCUGCGUGGAGCACACUCAGAGCUCCACCGGGCGAUUUUGAACGUCGCUCUCUGUGGCUGCUCCGUGUUUGCUUUGCUCUUGACCUCACCACUCGUAUCUUGCUGCUGUUGCAAAACCCAUUCGUGGGCUGGAGCCCAGAAAAAUGGAAACUGCGCUGCCUUCAAGAUUCUCGCCUUUCUGAAAAAGCCCUUCCUGCUUCCUGUUUGCCCUCUCGGCGGUGUUUCCAAAACAAAAUUUCCACUGCCUUUGGAAAACAAGGAGCCACGCUGAGCAGGAAUGCAGGCUGCAGCUCAGUGGCACAGCCAGGGCAACCCCACAGAGGGAUGCGCUUCUGAAAAAAGCCUGGAGGCUGAGAUUUUAUUUCUACCCAUGGAAAAAAAAAAGAGGUUUCAGGCUUGUGGUGUCUUCUGGGUGCAGGUAGGAGGUUGGAGCUCCCCAGGGUUUGGCACCUGUCUCCUCUCGGCCACCCUGACAGGAGUUAGAGGGAUGUGGCCCUUCCCUAGGGAAUUUUAGGACCAAAGGCAAAGGAGGUGCAGGUUCUCCCAAGGAAUGUGCAGUGGCAGGUUCUGGCUGGAGCUCUCUGCCCCUUGUUUAGAAGGUGCCUCUGCUGAGCCCGGCAGAACAAAGGGGUGGGGAUGGAUAAUCAGCUAAAAAAAUAAAUAUUCCAUGAAUCCCAAAAGGAACCAGACCGACCCCAACAGCAAAAUGCAGAGGAAUUUUCAGCAGGAUCAGUAAUCUUGCCCACCAAGGAAUUCCAAACCAGCCAUGAGAGAUCUGAGUUAAAUAAUGAGAAUAUUCCAGCUCUUUUUAUCCAGAAUCAUCCUUCUCUGGAUGGUUCUGUCUCUCCAGCCCUUCAAGGUUAACUUCAAAUUCUUUGGAGCAUUCCCUGCUUUAUUUUCUGUGCUUGGCCCUUCUGUGUGUGUUUGACUGCAGCAGGGAGGGAACAGCCACAGGUCCUUGUAAAACUUGUGUGAGAGCACCAAGGCUCUGCCACUUUCUGCUGCUGACGAGGCUGGGGGUAAUUAAAACACGACUGGAGUAAUCCAUUGGGUUUCCCACUCAUCCCACAGUUUUUCUGUGCUCCAGAAAAAGCCCAAAGCCCUGCUGAGAUGAAGAGAAAUUACAAGGGGAGAGGAGGAGUGGGAAGGAGGUGAAGCUCCAUCUGCAGCUCCAGCACAGGGAAGGCAGGCAAUGAGCAGAGCACUUGGGAAGGAACUUUCCCAAGGCUCAGGCAGCCUUUUUAUCCAUCCAGGAUUCCUGGAGAGCCCAGACUGCUCCCAUCAACAGAUGGGCUGAAGGAAACAUCGUGGACCUUCCUGCUGUCCCCAUUCCCAUCAUUCUUCAGCAGUUGGAGCCUUGGAUUUUUCAACUCUCUGAUUUUUUUAUCCCACUUCUUCUUUUCCCAUUUGGGAAAAGCUGUUUUGUUUUUCUUUCUGGGGCAGUAAAUUUCCAACCCUGAGCUGCUGAGGAGCCUUCAUCUGCCUCUGGAUCUCCCUCCUGGGUGCCUCAGGAUUCUUAAUGACCUUUUGUCACUCAUUAGCUUUGUUCAUUAGAUGAGAAUCUGGGGAGCCUUUAAUUGAAUUGGCGCAGAGAUGUGGAGAUAACGAAGGAGUAUCGGGGCUGCCAUCUGGGCAGGAAUGAGACAAGUCAGCUGGAGCUGCCUGGGCUUUGGGGUGGCUCAGAAAAUGGGAAUUGCAGACACCUGGGCUGUGCAAGUUGUGCAUGAACUUGUUUGACAGCUUCCCUCGAUGCCAGGUGAAAGUUCCCUGGAUCCAGCAGAGAUUUGAGAAAGGCAAAGAGAAAAUGCGGUUCCACUUCAAACACCCAGCCAGGCCUCAAUAUUCUUUCUUAACCUCGUGGCAGCUUAUCAGGAACACUUUAUUCUGCAGUUUCAGGAAGGAGUUUCUCUGGUUUUAUUUUCCUGGUAUCGUUUUUAUUUCGUCCCAUACUCCAAUCUCUGUUUCCCAGCCAGGGAUCCUCUGCAAUUACAGCGUCACUCAUCAUUUCCCAUAUUACCUGCAUUGCAUCACCGGGCUGGCACCUGGGCUGGAAGUGAAAAAUGUCAUUUUAGUUUGGCUCAAAUGCUCCCAGAGAUGGUUCUGGGACAGGCACCAGGGUGCUACAAAUGAAUCUGGGCUAAA